rnacentral:rRNA from 1 species
UACGUUCCCGGGUCUUGUACACACCCGCCCCGUCACACCACCGAAAGCCCCGCUGCGACAGAAGUGCCCUCUUUGAGGAUACUAAGUUGUGGUUGGUGAUUGGGGUG